rnacentral:rRNA from 1 species
GGGGAAUAUUGGACAAUGGGCGCAAGCCUGAUCCAGCCAUGCCGCGUGAGUGAUGAAGGCCCUAGGGUUGUAAAGCUCUUUUGUGCGGGAAGAUAAUGACGGUACCGCAAGAAUAAGCCCCGGCUAACUUCGUGCCAGCAGCCGCGGUAAUACGAAGGGGGCUAGCGUUGCUCGGAAUCACUGGGCGUAAAGGGUGCGUAGGCGGGUCUUUAAGUCAGGGGUGAAAUCCUGGAGCUCAACUCCAGAACUGCCUUUGAUACUGAGGAUCUUGAGUUCGGGAGAGGUGAGUGGAACUGCGAGUGUAGAGGUGAAAUUCGUAGAUAUUCGCAAGAACACCUGUGGCGAAGGCGGCUCACUGGCCCGAUACUGACGCUGAGGCACGAAAGCGUGGGGA